GCUUCCCCAUUUUUCACACCCUGUGGUGAUUUCCCAACAGGAAGGCUCCUGAGGACAGAUUGUGGCUGGACUCCGGCCACAGUUACCACGAUGUGUUCAUCAGGCUGAGGUGGUCCCAAUGCCUUGGAGCUUACCACAGCUCCUAAGAGGAAGUCAGCUGCAACCCCAGGAUCCCAUCACCAUCCAGACACCCUUCGAAACAAAAGAUGACUAAGACGGAAUCAGCCUCCCACUUGCUUACUCCAGAUGAGACCCUGCCUCAGGGUUCCUACCUGACCCAGGUGUGAGCUCAGUCUGUCUGAGGGUUUUGCUGAGGCAGCUGGGACAGAUGGUGCUGCUGUAGCCAUCUUGUGCUUAAGAGGAAAAGCCUGUCGAAGAAUGGAGCCCGCUUGAAGGCUAUGGAGAAGACAGGCACAGAGUGCGCUCCAGCACAGGUGACCCAUUGCAGCCUGUUUCUAAUUGCUCUGGGAGUGGGAUACUCCUCUGAAAGUUCUCACCACACAAACCAACGAGUUCUACGUUCUGUCACUGGCAGUCAGCAAGUGCUGAGCAGCAUGGUGCCUCUCCCUCAGACAAGAUGCUGGCAAGUGGAGGGGCGGAAUCUGCAGGGCAGGCCACCUGUGGAUCCGCCCAGGGCACGUGGAGACACCAGAGCUAGGGCAGGAAGCAGAGAUCUGGGAUAGCUCCAGUAGCACUGCUGGUAUCAGGACAAAUUGGCCCAGCUUUCAGCCCAGACUUAGCUGCCUCAUGACAGAAGUCUCCUCCUGUUCCCGCCUAUGGCUCAUGAGCCUCUCCUUCCCCACCAUCUGAGAGUGGACACCUCUGAGAGCCCUGUUUCCAAGCAAGGAGGCCCCAAGAGGCUGAGCAGCUGGCCCACAGCCACAGAGCUUGUUAAAGGAUAGAGCUGGGGCCUGAAACCAGGUGUCCCUGACUCCACAGCCUGCCUUUUUGGGGUUUUUCUCUGUAAUAAAUUCUAACAUCUUCCUGAGCUGUUUUAAGAGAUAAUGCCUGCUGAAAACCAUGUGCAUGCUGGCUACUUGGGAGGCUGGGACAGGAGGGUGGCUGAAGCCCAGGAUAUUCAGCCUAUAGGGUGCCAUGCUGAUGGGUUGUCCACACUGUCUCUGUGGGAUGUGUACACUGAAGCCCCCAGGCGCACACAUCUGCUGCUCUCUGCUUAUGUUCACUCCUGCAGGUGUGGCUCAGCAUGGGCAGCACAGGGUAUGUCGGGGAUGCACCAUCUGUGCCAAUGCGACAGCUGCCAGCUAUCAGGAAAUUAACCAGCCCAUCACAACCAGCUGUGCAGCAGCCGCAGCAUGGGGCACGAUGCCCCCUUUCUGGCAGGGUCAUUGGUGCAGCUGCAUGGAGGACCUAUGAGGCUGGGUAUGAGCUGUCUAUGCACUUGAGGCACACAAGAGUUGCUGUUUCCUGCUGCUCCAAUAAAAAAGUGUCUUCCUGGGGAUUUGGAGAAGAAGCAAAAGCAAAUCAGACCCCAACUCUCAGGCACUCAGGAGCCUCAUUAGUGUGUGUAGUGCUCCGGUGACAGAUUGGCUUCCUCCUGCGCAGCCUCAGCACAGAGCCUGUCUGCUGACCAAACUCAACACUGCUGACCACCGGGUGCAUUGCCAAUGGAGCAGCGCAGAAGUGACCAUGUGCCAUGAGAACAAACCAGAUCCCACAGCUGGAGGAUGGUGAGCCCAGGAGCCCAACUUAUGGCCCAGGCCAGUUUGGAGCCACCUAACCCUCAACAUGGGAGAGAACCCAGGUCAGAUGUGCAGAGCCACCUGCUCUACCCACAGCUGACCUCAGACUUAUGACAGCAGAACUGCCCAGCCAACAUGUAGCCAUGGUCUCAUAAGCAUUGUGUGUGUGUGUGUUUUAACCAUGGAGAUGGUCAUGUUUGCUUUACAGUAGUAGCUAACCAACACAUCUCUUGUAAAGUUGUUCUUGGGGGGCAAGCAACUUGGAGUAUAAGGUCUCUUUGCCCUUUUGUCCUAGAAACUGGGAGAAAAUAGACUUCCAAGGAUUUCUGAAGGAACAUCAAGACAUUUGGAUUUUACUGUAACAGGAUAAAA